rnacentral:rRNA from 1 species
GACGAACGCUGGCGGCGUGCUUAACACAUGCAAGUCGAACGAUGAAGUUCCUUCGGGAAUGGAUUAGUGGCGAACGGGUGAGGAACACGUGAGAUACCUGCCUUUCAUUUUGGGAUAACUCCGGGAAACCGGGGCUAACACCGAAUACUCCGUCUCGGCGGCAUCGCUGAGCCGGGAAAAACUCUUGAUGAAAGAUGGUCUCGCGGCCUAUCAGCUAGUUGGUGAGGUAAUGGCUCACCAAGGCAACGACGGGUAGCCGGCCUGAGAGGGCGACCGGCCACACUGGGACUGAGACACGGCCCAGACUCCUACGGGAGGCAGCAGUGGGGAAUAUUGGGCAAUGGGCGCAAGCCUGACCCAGCGACGCCGCGUGAGGGAUGAAGGCCUUCGGGUUGUAAACCUCUUUCAGUAGGGAAGAAGCGAAAGUGACGGUACCUAAAGAAGAAGCACCGGCUAACUAUGUGCCAGCCGCCGCGGUAA